CAUCUACUUCAACCUUCUUCUAUGCACUCUCUCUCUCUCCUCAACCAAGUUCUCCCAAAUCGAUCCAGGCGCUCUCUCUCUCUCCUCCAAGUUCUCCUAAAUCGAUCCAGGUAAUCGUCCCCAACAAACACAGAUCUACAAGGCCACACCGGAAACUCUUGGUCUCGGAAAACUCCAUUGCUGAAUCCGAAGAUAUUGAAAGAAAAGAUCGGAGCUUUUCACAAGCAGGGAGUAUCGAAGUGGUGAUGAUGAUUACGGAGACAGAGGCAUGGUCACCGGUGAAAAGCGACCGGAUCUAUGAAGAUGAACAUUCUACCAUGGUGUGGCAGCCUGGUGGCUGCACUUUGUAUCUCCGUUGAAGAUGAAGAUAUAAGAUGUAGAAAGAUUAAAAAUGACAAAAAAAAAAAAAAAAA